GAAUAAGCUGCUAGAAUUGGUGGUUCCUGGGUCCAGCGUGGGAUAUAAGCUGCUGUCCAUCAGGAUGAUGGGGAUGGUUGACAGCUUGCCUUUCUCACUUGCACAGGUUGGCAAGGGUUGGAAUGAAAGAGACGAGAGUGUGGAAAAGCUUCACAGAGUCUGCAACGAUCUGCUUCUCUUCCAUGUUAAGAGCCUCCUACAGAGCAUUCCCUGUCUCAGAUGCCUCUGUGUCGAAGAAGGCAGCUGCCAAGGGAUGCACUGCUGGCUCUGCCCUGAGUUCUGCGUCAUCCUGGAGUUACCGAUGUGGUGCAGGG
ensembl:lncRNA